GCACGAUGGUGUAAGGCGUACCAUCGCUGCCUGGAAGGCAGAAGAUGCGGGUUCGAGUCCCGCUUGGCGCA
rnacentral:tRNA from 1 species